GCUAUUCAAGUAUUAAAGGUAUCACCUGCCCAGUGAAAAUUUUUUAACGGCCGCGGUAUUCUAACCGUGCAAAGGUAGCGUAAUCACUUGUCCUCUAAAUAAGGACUAGUAUGAAUGGUUAAAUGAGGAUAAACCUGUCUCUUAUGAACAAUCAGUGAAACUGAACUUCCAGUACAAAUGCUGGCAUAUAAACACAAGACGAGAAGACCCUGUGGAGCUUUAAACAUCCUCAAACAUAAUUGAGUAAAAGUUUUCAGUUGGGGCGACUUCGGAAUAAAACCUAACUUCCGAGCACAAGAGACUUCUCUUGCAGAGGCUAACAAGCCAACGCACUAACAAUAUGACCCGGACUAUCCGAUUAACGAACCAAGUUACCCCAGGGAUAACAGCGCUAUCUUCUUUAAGAGUCCAUAUCAACAAGCAAGGCUUACGACCUCGAUGUUGGAUCAGGACACCCAAAUGGUGCAGCCGCUAUUAAUGGUUCGUUUGUUCAACGAUUAACAGUCCUACGUGAUCUGAGUUCAGACCGGAGU
rnacentral:rRNA from 1 species